CUGUGGAUUAAAGGUGGCUUUUGGGCUGUCGCAGAUGGAUGAGCCUGCGUUGGAUUAGCUAGUUGGUGAGGUAAGGGCCUACCAAGGCUACGAUCCAUAGCUGAUUUGAGAGGAUGAUCAGCCACAUUGGGACUGAGACACGGCCCAAACUCCUACGGGAGGCAGCAGUGAGGAAUAUUGGACAAUGGGGGCAACCCUGAUCCAGCAAUGCCAUGUGUGUGAAGAAGGCCUUAGGGUUGUAAAGCACUUUAGUUGGGGAAGAAAGCUUUGAGGUUAAUAGCCUUGAGGAAAAGGACGUUACCCAAAGAAUAAGCACCGGCUAACUCCGUGCCAGCAGCCGCGGUAAUACGGGGGGUGCAAGCGUUAAUCGGAAUUACUGGGCGUAAAGGGUCUGUAGGUGGUUUGUUAAGUCAGAUGUGAAAGCCUAGGGCUCAACCUUGGAACUGCAUUUGAUACUGGUAAACUAGAGUACGGUAGAGGAAUGGGGAAUUUCUGGUGUAGCGGUGAAAUGCGUAGAGAUCAGAAGGAACACCAAUGGCGAAGGCAACAUUCUGGACCGAUACUGACACUGAGGGACGAAAGCGUGGGGAUCAAACAGGAUUAGAUACCCUGGUAGUCCACGCUGUAAACGAUGAGUACUAGCUGUUGGAGUCGGUGUAAAGGCUCUAGUGGCGCAGCUAACGCGAUAAGUACUCCGCCUGGGGACUACGGCCGCAAGGCUAAAACUCAAAGGAAUUGACGGGGACCCGCACAAGCGGUGGAGCAUGUGGUUUAAUUCGAUGCAACGCGAAGAACCUUACCUGGUCUUGACAUCCUGCGAUCUUUCUAGAGAUAGAUUGGUGCCUUCGGGAACGCAGUGACAGGUGCUGCACGGCUGUCGUCAGCUCGUGUUGUGAAAUGUUGGGUUAAGUCCCGCAACGAGCGCAACCCCUAUUGAUAGUUACCAUCAUUAAGUUGGGUACUCUAUUGAGACUGCCGCUGACAAGCGGAGGAAGGUGGGGACGACGUCAGUCAUCAUGGCCUUACGACCAGGCUA
rnacentral:rRNA from 1 species